CUAGCGGGCACCCCUCGCCCAUCUUGCUUUCUAUCACCCCGGGGAAGGAGCGGGCCGGAAACUGGGGCUGCUCCCUCCCACCAUGGCUCCCACCGGGAGUUUGCCCGCCGGGAGGGUCUCUGCCCGAGUGGGGCAUCCAGGCUGCGCGGUGGCUGACGGGUUCGGGUGGCCCCCAGGUGUAGGAGUCAGGGCUCGUACCCGGCACCACGUCCCGCCGCGAAGUCGGGACUCCGGUGCGGUGUAAGGGCCAGGGAGCCGUGCACUCUGCGAGAGGCGGUCAAACACCCCCUCUGUUCGCGUACUUGCAGCCUCUGGGAGGAGUGGUGGGCUUCCUAAGCUGAACUCCAUCAGCCUUUCUCCUAGCAGCCGCCUACAGAAGGGAAGAAAAGGGUUUCUGCCUUUCAGCGACCGGUUGAAAGCGGCACGGGCCGCUUUCGGGGAACAGGAGCUCUGUAUCAAGGACUUCUGACCUCUUCUGCACGAAGAAUCUUUUGCACAAUUUUGAAACCUAGGCAUAAGAUAAAGGACAGCAUUUGUCAUCCUUUGGAGUCCUAUGGAGGUAUCCAUAUUUAUUAAAAAAGAAGACUGCCAGAACUGCAAGUCUAACCCAAGGUAAUGAUACAAUCCUAUUUCUAGCUCUUCAGGAAAUUGGUUUCCAACGUGGUCUCAUAUUUUCUAAAAUGACAUCUUACAUAACAUCAAGUGUUACAGGAAAGAACUGAAGGCUCAAAUCUGCCAUGGUGCAAAAACAUCUAAAUGUUGGUGUAGACUCAAAAUAAAUGCCAGCCAUGCUUGAUCAAAGUG